rnacentral:lncRNA from 1 species
CGCGAUCUUGGCUCCCUGCAACCUCUGCCUCCCGGGUUCAAGCGAUUCUCCUGCCUCAGCCUCCUGAGUAGCUGGGAUUACAGGCAUGCGCCACGACGCCUGGCUAAUUUUGUAUUUUUAGUAGAGACGGGAUUUCUCCAUGUUGGUCAGGCUGGUGGCGAACUCCCAGGUGUGCCUACCCUGGCACCGGUUCCCACGGAGCUUUCUGCCCUGGUAAAUUGUGAUUCCGGAUAUUCGUCUGCUGGUCUCUCCAGGUUGGGGAGUAAUGGUUUGCCCCAUGACCUCUCUUGCCAUAAGAAUCUAAAAGAACUGUUUGGUUUUUAGUUUGGUUAGCCUUCUCCUUGUUGUUAGGAUGAAGUGCUGACUCCCAAGCUUCGUGCUUGCUGGACUGGAAAUUGGAAGUCUGCCUGCCAGUUUUAAGAACCUAAAAAGUGAUGAACUGAAAAUGUCAGCCUGAGCUGACCAGCGCUUAUCCUCAUGUGACCUUGGGUGAAUUAAUGGACAUCUCUGAACCUCCAUUUUCUCCUGUGUAAAAUAGCAGCUGCAGCAAAAAUGAAAUAUCAAUAAUCUCUGAAAAGAAUUUAGCUCAGUGUUUGGUGAAGAUUGCCUCUCCUGAAGUCUAGAAAAGGGCUGGUUUGUUUGGAAGGCUGUGCCACGUGGCAAGAAGAGAAUAAACAUCUUGGGAAUUCUGGCUGUGCUGUACAUUUGCUGUGUGGCCUUCGGCAAGCUACUGACUUCUCUGAACUCAGGAUCUACAAACUGAGGAUAAGCAACAGGAGAAUCUCUGUGAAGUACUUUAAAAACAGGAGAUGUUUGUCUGAUAGUCUGCACCUCAAAGGAACCAAACGAAUGCAGAGGAUCCCCUGCCACAGGAAUCACUGUCUCCAAUGCCAUGCCUGGCAGUUUCUGUUUGUCAGAAUCAGCCCUUGCUUCAGGGUCUCAGACAAAUCGGCAUUCAAGAUGUCAGCCUAUGCUGGGAUUUCAUGUAAAGACUCUACAUGGGAAGAAGCUGUGUCCAGGCUCAGGCGGUUAUUGGGAGGAUUCAGUUCCCUGAGGGCUGUUAGAUUGAGGACCUGAGAUCUUUUCUCACUAUUGGUCAGAGGCCACCCUCCAUUCCUUGCCACCUGGGGCAUUCCAGAUGGCAACUUACUUCAUCGAAGUGUGCAAGCUGAGAAGGCCACAGAGAGAGUCUGCUAGCAAGACGAAAGUCACAAUCUUUUGCAACCCAAUCGUGGAAAUGACAUCCCAUCCCCUUUGCUCUAUUCUAUUUGUUAGGAAGUCACUAGGUCCAGCCCACACUCAAGGGCCUACACUACAGGGACAUGGGGAUAGGGUGGGGACCAUGGGGCUGG